GACGAACGCUGGCGGCGUGCUUAACACAUGCAAGUCGAACGGAAAGGCCCUGCUUUUGUGGGGUGCUCGAGUGGCGAACGGGUGAGUAACACGUGAGUAACCUGCCCUUGACUUUGGGAUAACUUCAGGAAACUGGGGCUAAUACCGGAUAGGAGCUCCUGCUGCAUGGUGGGGGUUGGAAAGUUUCGGCGGUUGGGGAUGGACUCGCGGCUUAUCAGCUUGUUGGUGGGGUAGUGGCUUACCAAGGCUUUGACGGGUAGCCGGCCUGAGAGGGUGACCGGCCACAUUGGGACUGCGAUACGGCCCAGACUCCUACGGGCGGCAGCAGUGGGGAAUAUUGCACAAUGGGCGGAAGCCUGAUGCAGCAACGCCGCGUGCGGGAUGACGGCCUUCGGGUUGUAAACCGCUUUCGCCUGUGACGAAGCGUGAGUGACGGUAAUGGGUAAAGAAGCACCGGCUAACUACGUG
rnacentral:rRNA from 1 species